rnacentral:rRNA from 1 species
CACGUAGGCACCAAGCGUUGUCCGGAUUUAUUGGGCGUAAAGGGCUCGUAGGCGGUUUGUCGCGUCGGGAGUGAAAACCCAGGGCUUAACCCUGGGCUGGCUUUCGAUACGGGCAGACUAGAGGUAUGCAGGGGAGAACGGAAUUCCUGGUGUAGCGGUGAAAUGCGCAGAUAUCAGGAGGAACACCGGUGGCGAAGGCGGUUCUCUGGGCAUUACCUGACGCUGAGGAGCGAAAGUGUGGGGAGCGAACAGG